UACGGAGGGUGCAAACGUUGUUCGGAAUCAUUGGGCGUAAAGCGCACGUAGGUGGUUUGUUAAGUCGGGUGUGAAAUCCCUGGGCUCAACCCAGGAAGUGCACUCGAAACUGGCAGACUUGAGUACUGAAGAGGGUCGCGGAAUUCCCGGUGUAGAGGUGAAAUUCGUAGAUAUCGGGAGGAACACCAGUGGCGAAGGCGGCGACCUGGGCAGAUACUGACACUGAGGUGCGAAAGCGUGGGGAGCAAACGGG
rnacentral:rRNA from 1 species